UAGAAAACUUAGACUUUACCACAAUCCUAUCAGGUAACUUGAAAUCUUGGUGUUGGUGAAGCUAAUCAGGGCUAGAAUUGAGAAGAAAGAUGGUGGUACUGUGGGAACAACAGUAAAUGACAGGGCUUAGAUGCAAGGUGCUGGGGUGCACCUGAGAGCCAGAAUGACAUGGGUAUGCCUCUUGAAAUCAGACCAUCAAUAAGCAAGGUCCCCAAACCCAAAAUGUGUUUUUCAGAGCCAGACCACAUCAGACUACAUUCUCUAAAUCACUUUCGGCACAGUGGAGUUGGUUACAAGCAAAAUUGCAUAACUGCAGUGCCCAGCUAAGCACCUAUUCCCCAGUGUCUCAAAGACAUAGAAUGAAUGGUACAGAUUGUGACAAGAGCCAAACUACAAAGGAUAGUUCCUAUGAUUUCAUCUAUUGUGAUAUCA
rnacentral:lncRNA from 10 species